AUUUAUAUAGUUUAAAUAAAACAUUAUAUUUUCAUUAUAAAAAUGGGAAUAACCCUUUAAAUA
rnacentral:tRNA from 1 species